rnacentral:RNase_MRP_RNA from 12 species
GUUUGGAGAAAGUCCCUGGUCCUUUGCCAGAGACGUUAGGAGUCUCUC